rnacentral:rRNA from 1 species
ACCGAACCGACUAAUGUUGAAAAAUUAGCGGAUGACCUGUGGCUGGGGGUGAAAGGCCAAUCAAACCGGGAGAUAGCUGGUUCUCCCCGAAAGCUAUUUAGGUAGCGCCUCGUGAAUUCAUCUCCGGGGGUAGAGCACUGUUUCGGCUAGGGGGCCAUCCCGGCUUACCAACCCGAUGCAAACUGCGAAUACCGGAGAAUGUUAUCACGGGAGACACACGGCGGGUGCUAACGUCCGUCGUGAAGAGGGAAACAACCCAGACCGCCAGCUAAGGUCCCAAAGUCAUGGUUAAGUGGGAAACGAUGUGGGAAGGCCCAGACAGCCAGGAUGUUGGCUUAGAAGCAGCCAUCAUUUAAAGAAAGCGUAAUAGCUCACUGGUCGAGUCGGCCUGCGCGGAAGAUGUAACGGGGCUAAACCAUGCACCGAAGCUGCGGCAGCGACACUAUGUGUUGUUGGGUAGGGGAGCGUUCUGUAAGCCUGUGAAGGUGGCCUGUGAGGGUUGCUGGAGGUAUCAGAAGUGCGAAUGCUGACAUAAGUAACGAUAAAGCGGGUGAAAAGCCCGCUCGCCGGAAGACCAAGGGUUCCUGUCCAACGUUAAUCGGGGCAGGGUGAGUCGACCCCUAAGGCGAGGCCGAAAGGCGUAGUCGAUGGGAAACGGGUUAAUAUUCCCGUACUUGGUGUUACUGCGAAGGGGGGACGGAGAAGGCUAUGUUGGCCGGGCGACGGUUGUCCCGGUUUAAGCGUGUAGG